GCUGGGCGUGGUGGCGUGCGCCUGUAAUCUCAGCUACUCGGGAGGCUGAGGUGGGAGAAUCACUUGAACCCAGGAGGCGGAGUUUGCAGUGAGCUAAGAUCGUGCCACUGCACUCCAGCCUGGGUGACAGAGCGAAACUCCAUCUCAA
ensembl:misc_RNA Metazoa_SRP Metazoan signal recognition particle RNA